rnacentral:piRNA from 1 species
UGAGCCAAGCCUGUCACCCGAACUUGU